UACGAAGGGGGCGAGCGUUAAUCGGAAUUACUGGGCGUAAAGUGUGCGCAGGCGGCUUUGCAAGACAGAUGUGAAAUCCCCGGGCUUAACCUGGGAACUGCAUUUGUGACUGCAUGGCUGGAGUGCGGCAGAGGGGGAUGGAAUUCCGCGUGUAGCAGUGAAAUGCGUAGAUAUGCGGAGGAACACCGAUGGCGAAGGCAAUCCCCUGGGCCUGCACUGACGCUCAUGCACGAAAGCGUGGGGAGCAAACAGG
rnacentral:rRNA from 1 species